AACGAACGCUGGCGGCAGGCUUAACACAUGCAAGUCGAGCGCCCCGAAAGGGGAGCGGCAGACGGGUGAGUAACGCGUGGGAAUGUGCCCUUUGGUCUGGAAUAACUCAGGGAAACUUGAGCUAAUACCGGAUAAGCCCUUCGGGGGAAAGAUUUAUUGCCAUUGGAGCAGCCCGCGUCAGAUUAGCUAGUUGGUGAGGUAAAAGCUCACCAAGGCGAUGAUCUGUAGCUGGUCUGAGAGGACGACCAGCCACACUGGGACUGAGACAAGGCCCAGACUCCUACGGGAGGCAGCAGUGGGGAAUAUUGGACAAUGGGGGCAACCCUGAUCCAGCCAUGCCGCGUGAGUGAUGAGGCCUUAGGGUUGUAAAGCUCUUUUACUCGGGAAGAUAAUGACUGUACCGAGAGAAUAAGCCCCGGCUAACUUCGUGCCAGCAGCCGCCGUAA
rnacentral:rRNA from 1 species